GCCAGAUGUAGUUGUGCAUGUUUGUAAUCCAAGCUACUUGGGAGGCUGAGGCAAGAGGAUCACCAGUUCAAGGCCAGCCUCAGUAACUUUGCAAGGCCCUAAGCAACUUAGUAAUGUUUUGCUAAAUUGCUGAGGCUGGCCUUGAAUUUGUGAUCUUCCUGCCUCAG
rnacentral:sRNA from 1 species